AAAAAUGACAACACAAGUUGUCAGACUUCCGUGAGUAUUUUCAUCGAUUUACGGUCCACUGUUUCGGGUUCCUAUCGAACUCCAACUUGAAGAAUAUUUUGAGCUACCCAACAAAAAUGAAUUCAAGUGCAUACGGAGUGAUGUCAACAAUAUUACCAAAAUCCUGUCAUGGCUUUCAACCGUUUGAAAACUAUCCAGUGGUUUUGCAUUGCAAGAAUCUCCAAAAAACCUGAAGUUUUCUAGACGUCUUUAUGCGGAGGAUGGUAAGCCGAAAUGCAAGCUGGCCUUUCUAAAUGUAUGAGACUAUGUGCGACUAUCAGUGCAUCAAACAUAAUAUUCUAUGAAAGGUAAUCCAAAUACACUAAGAUAUAAGGCAACGACAGGUAUUUCCGGAAGGUUAUUGCGUUUCAAGCCAACCCUCUAGAGUGAUAAUUAUAACGGUUAGUAUUAUGCUUCUCGAGAUUUUAUAGCAUUUUGCUAUUUUACCUCUGUCUCUCUCGAUUGUGCGCCGCUAAGGUAUUUGCCAUAUUGUGGUACCUUGAUUAUGGAAAUGCAAAAUAUUUCAUCACGUAUUACACACGAUUACCUAAUGGGAAUUAUUACUACAGUAUACUGAUCCAAAUGCAGUAGCAACAAAUGUAAAAAAAUAAAAAAGAUCCCGUUUAUUCCACCAAACACUAACUAUCCAUCGAGGGACAAUAAUAUGUUGCAUACCUUAAAAGCGAAUGUGAAAAACCGCGCCAAAAGAUCACAUCUGUUUGACAUGUCUUUAUUUACUUUUUGCAUGGCGCACAACUCGGCGCACGGGAGCCGGCGCGUAACUGGCGCGCCAGUUUGCGGAUUUAAGAAAAGAAUCGCAAUAUUAACGUACGGC